rnacentral:rRNA from 1 species
ACGGAGGAUCCAAGCGUUAUCCGGAAUCAUUGGGUUUAAAGGGUCCGUAGGCGGCCUUAUAAGUCAGUGGUGAAAUCUCCCGGCUCAACCGGGAAAUGGCCAUUGAUACUGUAGGGCUUGAAUUAUUAGGAAGUAACUAGAAUAUGUAGUGUAGCGGUGAAAUGCUUAGAGAUUACAUGGAAUACCAAUUGCGAAGGCAGGUUACUACUAAUGGAUUGACGCUGAUGGACGAAAGCGUGGGUAGCGAACAGGAUUAGAUACCCUGGUAGUCCACGCCGUAAACGAUGGAUACUAGCUGUUGGGAGCAAUCUCAGUGGCUAAGCGAAAGUGAUAAGUAUCCCACCUGGGGAGUACGUUCGCAAGAAUG